rnacentral:rRNA from 1 species
GACGAACGCUGGCGGCGUGCUUAACACAUGCAAGUCGAACGGAGAGGCCCUGCUUUUGUGGGGUGCUCGAGUGGCGAACGGGUGAGUAACACGUGAGUAACCUGCCCUUGACUUUGGGAUAACUUCAGGAAACUGGGGCUUAUACCGGAUAGGAGCUCCUGCUGCAUGGUGGGGGUUGGAAAGUUUCGGCGGUUGGGGAUGGACUCGCGGCUUAUCAGCUUGUUGGUGGGGUAGUGGCUUACCAAGGCUUUGACGGGUAGCCGGCCUGAGAGGGUGACCGGCCACAUUGGGACUGAGAUACGGCCCAGACUCCUACGGGAGGCAGCAGUGGGGAAUAUUGCACAAUGGGCGGAAGCCUGAUGCAGCAACGCCGCGUGCGGGAUGACGGCCUUCGGGUUGUAAACCGCUUUCGCCUGUGACGAAGCGUGAGUGACGGUAAUGGGUAAAGAAGCACCGGCUAACUACGU